rnacentral:rRNA from 1 species
GCUUACGGCCACACCACCCUGAACACGCCCGAUCUCGUCCGAUCUCGGAAGCUAAGCAGGGUCGGGCCUGGUUAGUACUUGGAUGGGAGACCGCCUGGGAAUACCAGGUGCUGUAAGUUUUC